rnacentral:rRNA from 1 species
AGAGUUUGAUCCUGGCUCAGAGCGAACGCUGGCGGCGUGCUUAACACAUGCAAGUCGAGUGCGCGCCUGUAGCAAUACAGGUGGCGCACGGCGCACGGGUGCGUAACACGUGGGUAAUCUGCCCUUCGAUGGGGAAUAACUCCGGGAAACCGAAGCUAAUUCCGCAUAACAUUCCUUGAACUUCGGUUUGGGGAUUCAAAGCCGUAAGGCGUCGGAGGAGGAACCCGCGCACGAUUAGCUAGUUGGUAGGGUAACGGCCUACCAAGGCUUUGAUCGUUAGCUGGUCUGAGAGGAUGGCCAGCCACACUGGAACUGAGACACGGUCCAGACUCCUACGGGAGGCAGCAGUGGGGAAUCUUGCACAAUGGGCGAAAGCCUGAUGCAGCGACGCCGCGUGGGGGAUGAAGCUUUUCGGAGUGUAAACCCCUUUCGACCCGGACGAAUACCUCGCAAGAGGGGUGACGGUACGGGUAUAAGAAGCCCCGGCUAACUACGUGCCAGCAGCCGCGGUAAGACGUGGGGGGCCAGCGUUGCUCGGAAUUACUGGGUGUAAAGGGUUCGUAGGCGGUGUAGCAAGUCGGGAGUGAAAUCUCUGGGCUCAACCCAGAGACUGCUUCCGAAACUGCUGUGCUUGAGUGUGGGAGAGGCGCGUGGAAUUGCAGGUGUAGCGGUGAAAUGCGUAGAUAUCUGCAGGAACACCCGUGGCGAAAGCGGCGCGCUGGACCACUACUGACGCUGAGGAACGAAAGCUAGGGGAGCAAACAGGAUUAGAUACCCUGGUAGUCCUAGCCCUAACGAUCAUGACUUGGGGUGCCGCACGUUCGUGCGUCGUCCCGGAGCUAACGCGUUAAUCCUGCACCUGGGGAGUACGGCGCAAGACUGAAACUCAAAGGAAUUGACGGGGCCCGUAUAA